rnacentral:lncRNA from 10 species
GGAAGACCUGCUCCUGAGGCAACUGGCCUGCCUCCCGGCUUCUUUCUCCAAGGCCAUUUCAAUUUAAGAAAACAAAAGAUGAUCCUGUGAACACUGUAUCAGGCAUCAUUACUGGACUGAAAAAAGGAUCACUUGAUGGACAUGCCUGGCGUUUUGUUUAGAAGUAUUUCUUCUCUGGCCUUAGAAGAUUAGUUUUCAAAGCGAUGGUAAAAUCAUUGAUGUAUGUCUUUUCAAGAAAAAGAAAAAAAAAAGACUCCUAAAUGCCAAACAUUUGCUCUUUGGAGCAUAGCAAGAAGAAAGGGAGAGGACCAGACGGCCACAUCCUAAGAACAGAGUAUUGUCCAGGUAGCUGUCGCCCCAAAUGGGAUCUCUUUCCAGGUCUUUUUGUUAAAGCUUUUCUUUCCUAAAUAAAACUUAAUUUUCU